ACGGGAGGCAGCAGUGGGGAAUAUUGCACAAUGGGGGAAACCCUGAUGCAGCAACGCCACGUGUGGGAAGAAGCAUUUCGGUGUGUAAACCACUGUCGUGAGGGAAUAAUGCUAUUUCUCGGAAUAGUUGAAUGUACCUCGAAAGGAAGCACCGGCAAACUUCGUGCCAGCAGCCGCGGUAAUACGAGGGGUGCAAGCGUUGUUCGGAAUCACUGGGCGUAAAGGGAGCGCAGUCGGAGAUGCAAGCGGUCUGUACAAUCCCGUGGCCUAACCCCGGACCUGCAGACCGGACUGUUUCUCUUGGAUAGUUCAGGGGCAAGCGGAAUGCCUGGUGUAGCGGUGGAAUGCGUAGAGAUCAGGAAGAACACCGAUGGAGAAGGCAGCUUGCUGGGGACUUAUCGACGCUCAUGCUCGAAAGUGCGGGUAGCAAACAGGAUUAGAGUCCCUGGUA
rnacentral:rRNA from 1 species